GUAUCAGGAGACACUGGAGCCAGAGGGCCAGAGGGAAGGAAGGGGGAUGUSGGUCUGAUGGGAGCUGCUGGGCCUUGUGCCUCUCCUGGACAAGAUGGGUUACCAGGGAAAUCAGGAGAGCUUGGAUACCCAGGGAAACCUGGGAAGCCACCAACUGAUGACCACUUGAUGAAGCUUUGCGCUAAUGUACUUCCGAGUAUGUUCCCUGCUAUUUUUUUUAUGCAUGACUAUUAUCUGUUGUAUGGAUUAUUGAAGAUUUAGACUGUUUCAAAUGAUAGACUCCAGAAUGCUUGCUAGGAAUGAAGGCAUUAGGCAAUCAUUGAUUGUUUUUAUUUUUUCACCAAGUGCACGUAUCCAGGGCAUUUCGAAAUAGUGAGGAUGUUCGUAAUUGUAGAUCUAAGAAAGCAUACAGCAGCAUCCUGUURGUCUACACAUCAUAACAGCAUGUUCACUGAACUACCCYCUGGAAACAUCUGGAGCACUAGUGCAGCUUUCAUUUCUGCAUUUUGGAGAAAAAAAACACACAUCCUCUGCAACGUACMUUGUUGCCUAAUCUCUGUGUCUGGGUAGAACUCAGUACAUGUUUCUAUUUUAGACCACAAGUCUUGGAGAUACAUAAUAACAUGCCGACAGUARUGAUGAAAAUCUGAAUCUGGCUCCGAACUAAACAAAUGCAUAGACCUACUAUUCAUUGGAACAAUGUAUAUGACAAAAUAGCAACAAUACAGCUCGUAUGGUGUUGCCUGGCUAUGCAAACUCUGUGCUCCAGCCAAACGCUACAAUACGCCCACGAAUGUUAGUUUCUUCUCCGCAAUGGGUCUAGAUCUGAGUACCUUCCCGACGAUUUCUAGAAGGCAAACACAUUCUAACCGUUCUGAUUGGUCCCAUAAAUCGAUGGUUUGGUUUGUCGGCCACAAAUAA